rnacentral:rRNA from 1 species
GACGAACGCUGGCGGCGUGCUUAACACAUGCAAGUCGAACGGAAAGGCCCUGCUUGCAGGGUACUCGAGUGGCGAACGGGUGAGUAACACGUGGGUGAUCUGCCAUGCACUUCGGGAUAAGCCUGGGAAACUGGGUCUAAUACCGGAUAGGAGCCAUUUUUAGUGUGAUGGUUGGAAAGUUUUUUCGGUGUAGGAUGAGCUCGCGGCCUAUCAGCUUGUUGGUGGGGUAAUGGCCUACCAAGGCGGCGACGGGUAGCCGGCCUGAGAGGGUGGACGGCCACAUUGGGACUGAGAUACGGCCCAGACUCCUACGGGAGGCAGCAGUGGGGAAUAUUGCACAAUGGGCGCAAGCCUGAUGCAGCGACGCCGCGUGGGGGAUGACGGCCUUCGGGUUGUAAACUCCUUUCGCUAGGGACGAAGCUUUUUGUGACGGUACCUAGAGAAGAAGCACCGGCUAACUACGUG